GACUUGCAGUGUGGUUAAUAAUACACAGGCCUCAUCUGAAAGAGGCAUUCACAUACUUCAGUGACCUUUCACGGUUCCAACUCUCUGAGUGUAGCAUCCUUGUUCACUGCAUGUGCUAAUCUUUUGGUCUACCUUCACAGGUUCUGAUUUCUAGUGUCCUGGUUACCAUCUAUCUGGAGUCUUCUUUUUCAAUAACUCCAGGGAUUCUAAGAUAUGGUAAAAUAUAUAUUUUAACUCUACAAAUUAUAAAUAUGGUGCACUCUACAACCAUGCAAAUGUCACAUAAUAUCCAAUUAAAGGUCCAUUAAAAAAACAAAAAAAACAAAAUACAUUUCAUACUAAGUAAAAAAAUAACAAUCCAUAACACUAAUUUUGUAUAGUAUGCGAUCAUUACAGUGCUUCAGUUUGUGGACAGAGAAACCUUAGACAACAUGUGGGUGCCAUUCCUUAAAACUGAACAUAAUAAGCAAAUAUCUGGCAUUUCUAACAAGCUCCACUAACAGAUUUUGGUUCAGUGUUGUCAACUUGUUUUUUAAGUUUUGUGUUAUUUUAGGUAAAUACAAAAAUAAAAGGUCUGCACACUCCAGAGCUCAAUAAGAGGUACAUUAAUUGGAACCAAAUAUUCUGAACAAUAUUGCAAUCCAACAAUGGGUCUUUGUCAAGUUAACACCACAAACAACAAACUGUGUACAGGUAGUUCCCGACUUUACAAACUUAUUGGUUCUAAAGCCGAGUUCAUGAAGUGUGAACUAAUUUCCCAUAGCUCGCAAUGUAAUAAACAUGAGUCCCAUUCCUGACCAAAAGCAUUUUCCAUUGAAAACUUUAAUUAUGAAGUACACAUACAAGAUGAAAACAUAGCAAAUACAUAUAUGUUGUAGAAACAUUAAAGGAAAACAUACCAUAUCGAAAUCUUCAUCAAAUCAUUAUCAGUCAUCAUCCUCCUCACUUGUUACACCUCCCAGUCCCUCCACGUGGUGUCUUACCACCCCUCCCAGAGCCUCAUUACCCCCCUCCAUGUGUCUCAUUCUCCCAAAGCCCAUCCAUGUGUCUCAUUC